UUAGCAGGGGAUAACAUUUGGAAACAGAUGCUAAUACCGUAUAACAAUGACAACCGCAUGGUUGUUAUUUAAAAGAUGGUUCUGCUAUCACUAAGAGAUGGUCCCGCGGUGCAUUAGCUAGUUGGUAAGGUAAUGGCUUACCAAGGCGAUGAUGCAUAGCCGAGUUGAGAGACUGAUCGGCCACAAUGGGACUGAGACACGGCCCAUACUCCUACGGGAGGCAGCAGUAGGGAAUCUUCCACAAUGGGCGAAAGCCUGAUGGAGCAACGCCGCGUGUGUGAUGAAGGGUUUCGGCUCGUAAAACACUGUUGUAAGAGAAGAAUGACAUUGAGAGUAACUGUUCAAUGUGUGACGGUAUCUUACCAGAAAGGAACGGCUAAAUACGUGCCAGCAGCCGCGGUAAUACGUAUGUUCCAAGCGUUAUCCGGAUUUAUUGGGCGUAAAGCGAGCGCAGACGGUUAUUUAAGUCUGAAGUGAAAGCCCUCAGCUCAACUGAGGAAUUGCUUUGGAAACUGGAUGACUUGAGUGCAGUAGAGGAAAGUGGAACUCCAUGUGUAGCGGUGAAAUGCGUAGAUAUAUGGAAGAACACCAGUGGCGAAGGCGGCUUUCUGGACUGUAACUGACGUUGAGGCUCGAAAGUGUGGGUAGCAAACAGGAUUAGAUACCCUGGUAGUCCACACCGUAAACGAUGAGUGCUAGGUGUUUGAGGGUUUCCGCCCUUAAGUGCCGCAGCUAACGCAUUAAGCACUCCGCCUGGGGAGUACGACCGCAAGGUUGAAACUCAAAGGAAUUGACGGGGACCCGCACAAGCGGUGGAGCAUGUGGUUUAAUUCGAAGCAACGCGAAGAACCUUACCAGGUCUUGACAUCCCUUGACAACUCCAGAGAUGGAGCGUUCCCUUCGGGGACAAGGUGACAGGUGGUGCAUGGUUGUCGUCAGCUCGUGUCGUGAGAUGUUGGGUUAAGUCCCGCAACGAGCGCAACCCUUAUUACUAGUUGCCAGCAUUCAGUUGGGCACUCUAGUGAGACUGCCGGUGACAAACCGGAGGAAGGUGGGGAUGACGUCAAAUCAUCAUGCCCCUUAUGACCUGGGCUACACACGUGCUACAAUGGCGUAUACAACGAGUUGCCAACCCGCGAGGGUGAGCUAAUCUCUUAAAGUACGUCUCAGUUCGGAUUGUAGGCUGCAACUCGCCUACAUGAAGUCGGAAUCGCUAGUAAUCGCGGAUCAGCACGCCGCGGUGAAUACGUUCCCGGGUCUUGUACACACCGCCCGUCACACCAUGAGAGUUUGUAACACCCAAAGCCGGUGGGG
rnacentral:rRNA from 1 species